rnacentral:ncRNA from 1 species
UAGAAAAGGGAAAAUUCAUCAUUAGACACAUAGAAGUUGGAUAAAACCAACAACCUUCCAUCCAAAGUCAACAAAAUUGAAACCCAUUUUUGAGAGUUGUUGAUGCCUCAUCCUAUAAUUAAUGGCAACGUUAGGAAAUCUGGAGACGUCAUCGGGGGCACUGGGAAGAGUUAUCUUUUCUUUUUAAUAGCUUUCCCACCCUAAAAUCGACUCAACCGGAGAUAGGAUCCAACAGCUAGAAGAGCAUCGCACAUCUUGCGGUGUCCAGUGCACCCUCGGUGGCCCUUGAAAAUCUGGAGGACCGAGUACCGUCCAUGCCUGGUCAUACUCAUAACCACAACAAGUCUCCAAGGUGAACAACCUCU